rnacentral:rRNA from 1 species
GAUGAACGCUGGCGGCGUGCCUAAUACAUGCAAGUCGAGCGAACAGACGAGGAGCUUGCUCCUCUGACGUUAGCGGCGGACGGGUGAGUAACACGUGGAUAACCUACCUAUAAGACUGGGAUAACUUCGGGAAACCGGAGCUAAUACCGGAUAAUAUAUUGAACCGCAUGGUUCAAUAGUGAAAGACGGUUUUGCUGUCACUUAUAGAUGGAUCCGCGCCGCAUUAGCUAGUUGGUAAGGUAACGGCUUACCAAGGCAACGAUGCGUAGCCGACCUGAGAGGGGGCGAGGCCACAAGGGAAACGAGACCCGGCCCCAGCCCCCGCGGGGGGGCGCAAGAGGGAAUUCUUCGGAAAGGGGCGAAGGUUGGACGGACCACCGCGGGGGGAGGGAUGAGGGUUUUGGUAUCUAAAACCUUUUUUAUGGGGAAAAAAAAAGUGGGAAAGUAAAUAUGCCCGUCUGGAGGUACCCUAAUAAGAAACCCAGGACAAAUGCGGGC